GACAGAGGUUGCAAACGUUGUUCGGAAUUACUGGGCAUAAAGCGCACGUAGGCGGUUCGUUAAGUCAUGUGUGAAAUCCCUCGGCUCAACCGAGGAAUUGCGCCUGAUACUGGCGGGCUAGAGAUCGAUAGGGGUGAGUGGAACUCCAGGUGGAGCGGUGAAAUGCGUAGAUAUCUGGAGGAACACCGGUGGCGAAGGCGGCAUCCUGGACCGGUAUUGACGCUGAGGAGCGAAAGCCAGGGGAGCAAACGGG
rnacentral:rRNA from 1 species